rnacentral:lncRNA from 1 species
GUGCGAGAGCGCCGGGGGUGUCCGCGCAGGGAUAGCUGGUGUGCGUGCAGCGGAAGGCGCUAACUGCCCUGGAUGUGGAGACCCGCGGACUGGACGUGAGAGGCGGGCAGGGGCAGUUGGGGCAGCUGCCCCUACAACACUGAAGAAUUGGAAUAGGAAAGAGUGUGGGGGUAGGGGACGGGGACUCUUUGUCUGCAGUUGGAAUGCGCGGAGGGGCAUGGUGGAAUGUGUCGCGUCCCGGGACCGGACGACAGGAGGCAUGUUCUGCGCUAGCACCGUGACUUUGUUCCCAGCGUGGGGACUGUGGGAGAGAUGGAGAGAGACUGGUACAGAAAUGGUGAGACAAGGAGAGAGCCAUAAAGAGGAAGACAGAGAGAAAGAAGACAAAUGCAUAAAGAGGUUCAGAGACGUGUACGUAAAGAUAGCCCUGAAAGGCGACGAAGCCCACAGAGAGAGGUGGAAGAGGGAAGAGGUAGCGAAAGAAAGGGAGAGCUGAGGAGCAAAGAGGAGUGUGGACGAUGCAGAGACCGAAGGGUGCGCAGACAAAGGAAAGGACAAGCUUGUCCAGAGAGAAUGAGAGACAAACAGAUAAACUGCAAUAAAAAGGCACCACCUUCUGGACCCAAAAGUUUUGUGAUUUGUAAAAGCAGUGAAAAGGAGUCAGGAAAAUGGGACUAAUCUGUGACUGUGGAGAUCGAAGGCCUGGUUUUAGGGCUAGCGAACACCUUCUCCCUUUGGUUUUGGUCCACAGAAGACUGGUGAUACAGAUUGCAUUGUCUCCCUGACCUCAUCUCCCCUGAGAAUCAGCCUCUGUUUCCCUGGUCAAGGCCACGGCUUUUCUCUGAUCCUGAGGAGAGUUUCCUACCAGAGUGGAAGCAGGGAGGACUGAAAGCACUAGGAACAGAGGGGAGCUAUCGGAUUGCAUCUAGAACCUGCUGUGAGCAACAUCUUCAGAAUUAACCAUAAUGUGUUCCCUCCUUUCCUGUGUCCAGAUGAGGAAGGAGAACUUUGAUUCUUCCUUCCAAUUACAUCCAAAAUAUCCACACAACUACUAAUAUUUGGAAGCUUUGAUCCUUUGGGGUGAGGAUGCGAGAGGAAAUCUUAUGAAAUGUUGGGAGGCCAUUAAAGGAGGCCCAUGCAAGAGUUGGUGGUAGCAAUGGGCACAACUGGGAUGAACAGCCUGUGUUUUCAAGGGAUAACUGGAAGCAGAGAUGAGUGAAGGGGAAGAAGUAGAAGACGCAUAUGCUAAUAGGGCAUGCUCCAAUAGUGCUCAUGACCUCAGGUGGCCUCUCCACAGUCUAAACUGGAGCUGGGAUCUCCAAAGGCCCUCUUCGUUCCCAAGACUUUAAUUAUAAUCUGUAUAUGCAGGUGACUCCCUAAUCCAUAUUUCCAGCCCAGUCUUUCUUGGAAUUAAAAACUCAACUAACUACUAGCAUCUCCAAUGGCUGUCUCAGAAGCACCCAAUAUCCUAAACUGAUCUCAUCUUCUCUGCCUCAUGAAACUGGCUCCUCUAACAUUCUCUGAGUAAAUGGCACAAUCCUGUUAGCUGCUUAAACUAGAAAUCUGAGCGUCAACCCUAUGUCCUCCUUCUCCCUUAACCUCAAAUCCAACCAAGUCCUAUCAAUCACCAAGUUCUAUUAAUUCUGCUUCCUAAACAUCUUCCAAAUCUGUCCUCCCCUCAUCACCACUAUAUAUGUCAAGUCACCGUCUUUCCUCUCCGAAACCAAUGCAAAAGUCUCCUGGCCAAGGCUUGCUCCCUGCAAUCCAUCUUAUACCCUGAGGUCAAGUGAUUUUUUUCAGUACAGAAGCUUUACGACUUACAAUGGAGUUAUGUCUGAAUAAACCCAUCCAUUAUAAAUUGAAAAUAUCGUAAGGCAGAAGUGCUUCUUCAACUUCACCAUAUUUUCAGCUUAAAAUGGGUUUAUCUGAUAUAACUGCAUCAUAAGGUGAGGAGCAUACUGAAUCAUUUCGCACCAUCGUAAAGUUGAAAAAUCCUAAGUCGAACCAUCGUUGAGUUGGGGACUGCCUGUAGGCAAAACCUGUCGUUUUAUUUCCCUGCUAAAACAAACUUUCAAUGAUUUCUCACUGCCCUUGGGUUGAAGUCUGUACUCUGUAUUAUGAGGUCUGUCUCACUCUCCAGCCUCUCCUCUAGCAUUAUCCCUUCCCCAAAAGUCUGCAGUAGAACUGGACCUUGUCUGUACUCUCUCUUGCCCCUGGACUUUUGUACCUGCAGUUCCCUGUUUGGAACACUCUCUUAGCCUCCCCUUUCCUUCUGGUUAACUCUUCCCCAGUUUAGACAUUACACCCUCUCAGAAGAAGCCUUUCCAGACUGCAAGAGUAGGUUAGCUACCCCUGCUGUAUAUUGCCAUAGUGCACUACACUCCACCAUGGUCACCCUUAUCACAGUUCAUUUCAUUGCCUACUCCACUGCCUGGCUUCCUGACUAAACUAAAAAAAUCUCUGAACAGCAUCCAACCUUAUCAACAAUGUAUCCAUAGCACAGUACCUGACACCUAGUAAAGCGAUCAAUGUUUGUUAUAAGACUGAAUAAAUGUAAAGCCAUUUUUGCUUUUCAAUCCAUCCAAAAUGCACACCCCUUCCUCAAAAUACAGCUUGGCUGACAGGACCAAGAAACAGCUACAAAGCUGUGUAUUUUGCUUGGUCACAUAGUGAGAGAGAGGCUGCCGGUGAGACACGGGAACUCUUUAAGCCUUAAUUUCCUCAUCUGUAAGAUAGGAAUAGUAAAAUUUUCCUCAUGUAAUUCAAUAAACAAUAGCUAUUAUAUCAGGAACCCAAUUCCCCAAUAGUGAUAGAACUUGUGUUCCCUUGGUCAGAAGACUCAAGCUCAUGACUGAAACUGCCCACCAGGUGGCGGUAUUAACCUGCACUGGUCAUGUUCGGUUUCCACUGCAGAGCAAGACAAGUAGUCACAGGGAAGCAAAAGGUACAACCUGGGCUGCUUCCUCAGAGCUUUGGGUGGAACUGGGCAGGGGCAGAAACAACUCAGAGACAGGGCAUAUGUCAAGAAGGCCUCAUGUUUCUUGGACCCAUCCUCCUCAUUUUCUCAUCCCAGG